rnacentral:rRNA from 1 species
GUGCCUGAAGUCAAGCAAGAUUACCCGCUGAAC